CCCUUAGAUGUCCUGGGCCGCACGCGCGCUACACUGAUGCAUUCAACGAGUUCACCUUGGCCGAGAGGCCUGGGCAAUCUUUUGAACGUGCAUCGUGAUAGGGAUAGAUUAUUGAAAUUUUUAAUCUUGAACGAGGAAUUCCUAGUAAACGCAGAUCAUCAAUCUGCAUUGAUUACGUCCCUGCCCUUUGUACACACCGCCCGUCGCACCUACCGAUUGAAUGGUCCGGUGAAGCCUCGGGAUUGUGGCCAGUUCCCUUUAUUGGGAGUUGGUUGCGAGAACUUGUCUAAACCUUAUCAUUUAGAGGAAGGUGAAGUCGUAACA
rnacentral:rRNA from 1 species